CGAUGCGGAAGGAAAAUGAUUACGAAUUGAAGCGGUGCUCAAAGCAGGAAGGGGACUGCUUUUUCAGCCAGUGAAUGCGGUCUGGGCUGGACAUAAUUUCCAGGCAAGUAAACGAGCAUUGUCAUGUUGUGCCCCCUGUCCACAGUGAUGUGCCCCCCGUCUACAGUGAGUGGCAGUUGCACUGAUCUUCUCAACAUUGCCCCCUGGCUCGCAUGACUGGCAGAGCAGCAAGGAUGGCUCAUUCUCCCUAGGUUAUGUGAUGCUGUGCACGGAGUGAUAAUUUCAACUACCCGACGAGUAUGGUGCCUGGAGCAAGUCUUCGACUGGUGUGUUUAGCGUCCUUUGCUGCCCGUACAUCAAAAGUGGUCCGA